UGAUGACUGAGCAAUACUGCUUUAGCCAGCAGCUUUUACCACUGAACCAAUGCAAAAAUGUCUGUUUGUGUUGUGGUCUGUUAGCACUGGACCUGCUGAUGCUGAGAGAGUGAACCAGAGAGCCAGAAAGGUUUCAGGAAAACAUUUAUUUUCAAACCCUUCUGAAGCAGAUGCCAUUCCUGUCGCAGUCCUCCCAGAGGGCAGGCACUCCAGAAGAUUGCAAAGAUAAUCCAGCAUCUCCGAUGGCUCACAAAACGCAACAUAAGCAAUGACGUGCAUCCAUGAAGAUUGUGAGGAAAGGGCACAGAGAUCUGAAGUGCCCAUUACUGGUGGGAACUGUGCAAUGGCUUGAGUUGAGACAUCAGAACGGGUGAAAGUAGUGUAGUAGUUUGUUAUUUCGAACAUGUGCUGUAAGAGGCAGAGUUUAGCUGCAGCCUCAAGCGGAGCAGAAAACACUCACAGCCUCCACAGCAUGAGUCCACAGCGUUCAGCUUUGCUUUGGGACCUGUAGACUCGCCUGAAUAAUCCCCGACCGAGAGAGAUGCUUUCAGACAGAUAGCAGCAUCACCUCAGCACUCAAUCACAUUUAUGGGCCUGUUCAGCCAUGUGUUAUUUGUUAUUGGUGUUAUGAGGAUAGCAGAGAUGUUAUGCGGACAGGACACUGAUCUGUGUUUAUGAUCGUAAAAACACAGAGCUCACUGACAGUUUUCCUGCAUAAACAAUGUUUGUAUUGAUGUGUAGCAAAUAUCUAAACAUCCUUAAAGGGAUAGUUCUAAUACUAAUCUUAUACUAUUUUUGUUAUCAGAUAAAUUUGUCUUAUUUUAAAGAGAUUCAGUUGCUGUUCCCCAUUGACUUAAAUAGUGUUUUUUUGUUUUUUUGAAACAAUCAUAUUCUCUUUGUAAGCAUGAAUUAUCUUCAACCUGCCGAAAUGUGCCUAUAAAUAUAUUUCCCUUCCAAAAUGUGCAUUCUGAAUAAUAAAUAAAUAUAUUUGAUACUGAUCGU
rnacentral:lncRNA from 12 species